rnacentral:rRNA from 1 species
AUGCGGAGUUUCUACCAGCACUACUACAAGACGUACAUCACGGCACUCCAAAAUGCCGCCGAUACAGCUGACCGUGCUCAGCUCAAAAAGGCGUAUCAGACUUCAAAUGUGUUGUUUGGGGUCCUAAAGGACGCCGUUAAUGUUUCACAGAAGAUCCAAGUUGAUCACGCCAUUCUGGAAACAAACAACCAUCCUGACAGUGCUAAUCACUAUCUUCCUGACAGUGCUAAUCAGACUAUUAUGAGAUAUCCCAAGAUCCAAGCAGCUUUGCAUGCCCUUAGUGACACCAGGGGUCUGCCAUGGCCCAAGGACCAUGAAAAGAAGGCUGAUGCAGAUCUUCUUGAAUGGCUUCAGGCCAUGUUUGGGUUUCAGAAAGAUAAUGUGUCCAAUCAGAGAGAACAUCUCGUACUAUUGCUUGCCAACAUGCAUAUAAGGCAGAUCUCCAAACCUGAACAACAACCAGAGUUAGAUGACCAUGUGUUGGAUACAACAAUGAACAAGCUAUUCAAGAACUACAAGAGAUGGUGCAAGUACCUUGGCCGCAAAACCAGCUUAUGGCUGCCGACAAUUCCACAAGAAGUACAACAGCGUAAGCUUCUCUAUAUGGGCCUUUAUCUGCUCAUAUGGGGCGAGGCGGCUAACUUGCGAUUUAUGCCAGUGUGUCUUUGCUACCUCUUUCACCAUAUGGCUUUUGAAUUGUAUGGUGUGUUGGCUGCAAACGUGAGCCCAGUAACUGGUGAAAAUGUUAGACCAUACUAUGGUGGCGAAGAGGAAGCCUUUUUGAAGAAAGUCGUGACUCCAAUUUCCAAAAUCGUAGAAACGGACAAAGCUGAAAGGAGUGGGACAAUAAAAUCAAAACACUCACAUCGGAGAAACUAUGAUGAUCUCAAUGCGUUCUUUUGGUCAAAUGACUGUUUCCAAUUAGGAUGGCCAAUGAGAGCCGAUGCUGAUUUUUUUCAAGAAGAGGAGCAACCUGUGAUGCUGAGAUACGCGACGGAACAUACCAAAAUAUGA